rnacentral:tRNA from 1 species
GGGUCAAUGCUCGAGUGGUUAAUGAGGACAGACUGUAAAUCCAUUGGCAAUAUGCCUGUGCUGGUUCAAAUCCAGCUCAACCCA